rnacentral:sRNA from 1 species
ACAGCCUGCGCACCGACAUGCACAUCAGUGGGGUGUUUGCCACUAAGGAUGCUGUCGCAGUCUGGAACGGAAGGCAGGUGGCGAUCUUCGAGCUUUCUGGAGCCGCGAUACGGAGUGCAGGGACCUUCUUGUGUGAGACGCCCGUGUUAGCAAUGCAUGAAGAAAACGUUUACACGGUGGAGUCAAACCGAGUUCAAGUUCGAACCUGGCAGGGGACUGUCAAACAACUCCUCCUUUUCUCGGAGACUGAGGGGAACCCCUGCUUCUUGGAUGUCUGUGGGAAUUUCCUGGUUGUAGGGACAGACUUGGCUCACUUUAAAAGCUUUGAUCUUUCCCGAAGAGAGGCCAAAGCACACUGCAGCUGCAGGAGCCUGGCGGAGCUGGUCCCUGGGGUGGGGGGCAUCGCUUCUCUGCGGUGCAGCAGCAGCGGGAGCACCAUCAGCAUCCUCCCCAGCAAGGCUGACAACAGCCCUGAUUCCAAAAUCUGCUUCUACGAUGUUGAAAUGGACACAGUGACCAUCUUUGACUUCAAGACUGGACAAAUUGAUCGGAGAGAGACGCUGUCCUUUAAUGAGCAAGAGACUAAUAAGAGCCACCUCUUUGCGGAUGAGGGACUGAAAAAUUAUGUUCCCGUGAACCACUUCUGGGACCAGAGCGAGCCCCGGCUGUUUGUGUGCGAAGCCGUGCAGGAGACACCGCGCUCCCAGCCUCAGUCUGCAAAUGGGCAGCCCCAAGAUGGGCGCGCUGGCCCUGCGGCAGAUGUUUUGAUCCUGUCCUUCUUCAUUUCCGAAGAGCACGGCUUCCUGCUUCAUGAGAGCUUCCCCCGGCCUGCCGCCUCCCACAGUCUCCUGGGGAUGGAAGUGCCUUAUUACUACUUCACAAGAAAGCCCGAAGAAGCAGACAGAAAAGACGAGGUGGAGCCUGGGUGCCACCACAUCCCUCAGAUGGUGUCCAGGAGACCCCUGCGAGACUUCGUGGGGCUGGAGGACUGCGACAAGGCCACCCGGGACGCCAUGCUCCACUUCAGCUUCUUUGUCACCAUUGGAGACAUGGACGAAGCCUUCAAAUCCAUCAAGCUCAUCAAAAGCGAGGCCGUCUGGGAGAACAUGGCGCGCAUGUGCGUGAAGACCCAGCGGCUGGACGUGGCCAAGGUGUGCCUGGGGAACAUGGGCCAUGCCCGCGGGGCCCGAGCGCUGCGUGAGGCGGAGCAGGAGCCGGAGCUAGAGGCCCGCGUGGCCGUGCUGGCCACACAGCUGGGCAUGCUGGUGAGGGGCGCCCGCCGUGGGGUGGGCGGGAAGGCACCACGCCUGCCACAGCCACAGCCCCCCGGGGAAGGAGGCAUGACCCAGGAGAGCUGGGCAGACAGCGGCAGUGGAGGUGAGGUGGGUGGAGGCUAGGCGACCGCCGGCUCUCCAAGGUGUGUGCCUGUCAGGUGUGUGGGCCUGGAACAGAAUGCCUGAGAGACCCCAGGUCAGCAGGGCUGAGCACAGGACUUCUCGGGGGGCUGUGGGAGGUGGGGCUACCCCUUGGUGGUGCAUCUCACUCUCCAGCCGUGGGACAGGGAUGCCCCGUGGGUGUGUGGCAUUCUCUGUGCCCUCAGUGGCCCCGUGCGUCAGUGUGCUUGGCAGUGUGGGAAGGCGCAGUGACCGGUGGCCUGGCGUGAAACAGUGUGUUUGAAGCCUGGGUUUGCGGAGGCUGCGCGACACCUGCCCGUCCUCAUUCCUCAGGAGGAUGCCGAGCAGCUGUACAAGAAGUGCAAGCGCCACGACCUCCUGAACAAGUUCUACCAGGCUGCGGGCCGGUGGCAGGAGGCCCUCCAGGUAGCCGAGCACCACGACCGCGUGCACCUGCGCAGCACCUACCACCGCUACGCUGGGCACCUGGAGGCCAGCGCCGACUGCAGCCGGGCCCUCAGUUACUACGAGAAGUCGGACACGCACCGCUUCGAGGUGCCCAGGAUGCUGUCGGAGAACCUGCCGUCCCUGGAGCUCUAUGUGAAUAAAAUGAAGGAUAAGACCCUGUGGCGGUGGUGGGCGCAGUACCUGGAGAGCCAGGGAGAGAUGGAUGCCGCGCUGCACUACUACGAGCUGGCCCAGGACCACUUCUCCCUGGUCCGCAUCCACUGCUUCCAGGGCAAUGUCCAGAAGGCUGCGCAAAUAGCCAACGAGACAGGAAACCUGGCGGCCUCCUACCGCCUCGCCCGCCAGUACGAGAGCCAGGAGGAGGUCGGGCAGGCGGUGCACUUCUACACCCGGGCACAGGCCUUCAAGAAUGCCAUCCGCCUGUGCAAGGUACCAUGGGGCCGGGGCGGGGAGCUGGCGCUUCUCGAGGUCCCCUGAAGAGAGCUUCAAGUGGAAAAGUGGACAGAGAGAAUUGUGUCAGUGACACGUGGUGCAGCCGGUGUCUGCCACUCACUGCUCACCCCUCUGCCCACUCCUGGCCGCUUCUGACAUUGUUUGCAAAGCACUGAAUUGUCCCCAGAUGUUUCCCAGGCUCCAGGGCUCCUGAGCGGGUUGUGAGGCUGCUCACGGCCUAUGGCCUUGCAGAUGGCAGACCCUUCCUAGACAGCUGUUGGGUGUUCUGCACCACACAAAUGUCCCAAUCCGGGCUCUCGCUUCCAGAAGCAUCUCCCGUGUCAGGUAUUUCUCGCAGUGCUCUGUGAAAUAGAACCCAGAGCAUCGGAAAAUCCUCGUAGACAAACCCAGUAAGUCAUCAGCUCCUUAAAACCCAUAACCGCAGAGAUCGCUGAGCAGCAUAUCAAAGUGAAGGGGUGGGUUCGCACCCGGCCACAUUCCAGAAUCUCAGCGGACCUGGGGAAGCCGGUGGGAGCCACUUCAGGGCCCUGCCUCCCUCCCUGCAGGAGAACGGCCUGGACGACCAGCUCAUGAACUUGGCCCUGCUGAGCUCCCCCGAGGACAUGAUCGAGGCGGCCCGAUACUAUGAGGAGAAGGGCGUGCAGAUGGACAGGGCAGUCAUGCUGUACCACAAGGCUGGCCACUUCUCCAAGGCCCUGGAGCUGGCCUUCGCCACCCAGCAGUUUGUGGCCCUGCAGCUCAUCGCAGAGGACCUGGAUGAGACGUCAGACCCUGCACUCCUGGCCCGCUGCUCUGACUUCUUCAUCCAGCACAGUCAGUACGAGAGGGCGGUGGAGCUGCUGCUGGCCGCCAAGAAGUAUCAGGAAGCCCUGCAGCUGUGCCUGGAGCAGAACAUGAGCAUCACCGAGGAGAUGGCGGAAAAGAUGACCGUGGCCAAGGACUCCUCGGACCUGCCUGAGGAGUCGCGGCGGGAGCUGCUGGAGCAGAUAGCAAACUGCUGCAUGCGCCAGGGCAGCUACCACCUGGCCACCAAGAAGUACACGCAGGCCGGCAACAAGCUGAAGGCCAUGAGGGCGCUGCUCAAAUCCGGAGACACAGAGAAAAUCACGUUCUUUGCGAGCGUGUCCAGGCAGAAGGAAAUCUACAUCAUGGCUGCCAACUACCUGCAGUCCCUGGACUGGCGGAAGGAGCCGGAGAUCAUGAAGAACAUCAUCAGCUUCUACACCAAGGGGCGGGCCCUGGACCUCCUGGCCGGCUUUUAUGAUGCUUGUGCCCAGGUAGAGAUUGAUGAAUACCAGAACUACGACAAAGCCCAUGGGGCGCUGACCGAGGCCUACAAGUGCCUGGCCAAGGCCAAGGCCAAGAGCCCCCUGGACCAGGAGACCAGGCUGGCGCAGUUGCAGAGCAGGAUGGCACUGGUGAAGAGGUUCAUCCAGGCCCGCAGGACAUACACAGAGGACCCCAAGGAGUCCAUCAAGCAGUGUGAGCUGCUCCUGGAGGAACCAGACCUGGACAGCACCAUCCGCAUUGGGGACGUCUACGGCUUCCUGGUGGAGCACUACGUGCGGAAGGAGGAGUACCAGACGGCCUACAGAUUCCUGGAGGAGAUGCGGCGGCGGCUUCCCUUGGCCAACGUGUCCUACUACGUGAGCCCGCGGGCCGUGGACGCCGUGCACCAGGGGCUGGGUCUCCCACCGCCACGCACCAUCCCCGAGCGGGUCCGCCGCAAUAGCAUGGAGGACGCCAGGGAGCCGGACGAGGAGGUGGUGGAAGAGGCAGACGACGACCCCUGAGGAGCCUUGGCCCCCGGACAAGCGUGCUGCUGCAGAAAGGCAUCUUCUGGAAUUUUUUCGUCAGCUGCGGCAAAGCCAGCUUUUUUGCUGGGAAAAAACAUGUCUGUGUUGGAAUAUGCAACAGAGCUGGGCAAGAACGCGGCGGCCCGGGCCGGCGGGGGGUGUGACCCAUCUGCACCUUGGUCUGUCCCACCUGCCUCUGGGUGCCCGGCAGCUCCAGUAGAUUUUUGGAUUCAUUCCUUUGAAGGGAGUCGGGUUCACCCUUCCAUCGUAUUCUCCCAACUACACAUUGUAAAGCCUGAGAAACUUCUAGAACCUCAGGAAGCUGCAGCUGGAGGGCUAAGGCACCUGCCCCCCUGCUCCCCACACAUCAUAUCCUCCCCACACUCCCGCAGGGCCCACGGCUCCUGAGCAACAGCUGGGACACCCGGGCCCUGGCGGCUGUACCCCCCGCUAGGCUCUGCACACCGGCCACCAACACUCCUGUAAUUCCAAUAAAGUAGUUUAUUUUCUG